GACGAACGCUGGCGGCGUGCUUAACACAUGCAAGUCGAACGGAAAGGCCCUGCUUGCAGGGUACUCGAGUGGCAAACGGGUGAGUAACACGUGGGUGAUCUGCCCUGCACUUCGGGAUAAGCCUGGGAAACUGGGUCUAAUACCGGAUAGGAGCCAUUUUUAGUGUGAUGGUUGGAAAGUUUUUUUCGGUGUAGGAUGAGCUCGCGGCCUAUCAGCUUGUUGGUGGGGUAAUGGCCUACCAAGGCGGCGACGGGUAGCCGGCCUGAGAGGGUGGACGGCCACAUUGGGACUGAGAUACGGCCCAGACUCCUACGGGAGGCAGCAGUGGGGAAUAUUGCACAAUGGGCGCAAGCCUGAUGCAGCGACGCCGCGUGGGGGAUGACGGCCUUCGGGUUGUAAACUCCUUUCGCUAGGGACGAAGCUUUUUGUGACGGUACCUAGAUAAGAAGCACCGGCUAACUACGUG
rnacentral:rRNA from 1 species